rnacentral:rRNA from 1 species
UACAGAGGUCUCAAGCGUUGUUCGGAUUCAUUGGGCGUAAAGGGUGUGUAGGUGGCGCCGUAAGUCGGGUGUGAAAUUUCGGAGCUUAACUCCGAAACUGCAUUCGAUACUGCGGUGCUUGAGGACUGGAGAGGAGACUGGAAUUCAUGGUGUAGCAGUGAAAUGCGUAGAGAUCAUGAGGAAGACCAGUGGCGAAGGCGGGUCUCUGGACAGUUCCUGACACUGAGAUACGAGCCAGGGGAGCAAACGGG